CAUAUUUUCUUUCAGUUGUAGGAUGUUUAUUGUCUAGCCAUGGUUUGAGAUUUGGGUAACAGGAUGAAUGGUUAGAACAUCGAUGAUAUUAGCCAAAUUAUUGAAAUUUACAGUUGAAUAGUUUUUUAUUACUUGUUAAAGAGGGAAUUGAUUUGUUUUGAAAUGAGAAUCUAUCGUCAUCCAGUCACAUCGAGGUUGCAUUCAAUUUAGUAUGUUCCCCAG
rnacentral:lncRNA from 1 species